GAACUGGAGAGCUGGCAGGAGGCUGAGGAGAGGAAUGGGGGGCUCACAUCACAUCUGCUCCCAGGUGGACUUGAUUGGUCCUUUAAUUAAAACACCAUCACCAGUGUCCAAUAGUGACAUCACCCUUUGGUAAACAAAUCUCCAUGACACAUUCCACAUGGGCACAACACUGGGUGCAGCCAGUGAAGAGGAUUGGUCCAGCAGGCGAGGUCUGAUGAGCUUAAAACUCAACAGAGUGGGAGUAGCACAGAAGGUACACAAAAGAUAAUGACCAUUAACAACCAUUAACGACCAUCAAACACCAAACAUCACCCCUGGCUUGUCAGAGAUACCUGGUCUGGGAAAAGAGAAAUAAGAAAACCAAGAA